rnacentral:lncRNA from 1 species
GUAAUCGAUGUGGUAAAGCCUUUGUAUGUCAGAAUGAUCUUAAAAGGCAUGAAAGAAUUCAUACUGGAGAGAAACCCUACAAAUGUAAUGAAUGUGAUAAAGCCUUUGCACAUCACCGUAAUUUUCGAACGCAUAAAAUGAUGCAUGCUGGAGAAAAACCCUACAAAUGCAAUCAAUGUGGUAAAGCCUUUUCACAAAACAGUCAUCUCCAAACACAUAAAAGCACACAUACUAGAGAGGAACUCUAUAAAUGUAAGCAAUGUGGUAAAGCCUUUACAUGCCGUAAUGAACUUCAAAGUCAUAAAAGG